AUGGGAUAUAAAUACUGCACCGGUCUUUCCAGUACCCCGUUCUUUGUCUUGAGUCGCACAGCUCUCACGACUCCGUCCUUGCCAGGAAAGGUUUCUUCGACCACAGCUAAAGGCCACACUCCCCGAUUCUUGUUGUCGCUCAACACUAUGACCACAUCUCCAGAUUUGGGACAGAACUUCGUUCUCGCAUGAAUCAUAGUAUGUCUUUCUCUCAAUGCCGCUAGAUAUUCCCUCUUCCAACGUUUCCACAGGUUGUUCUUGCAGGCAAGAAGGUACUUGGCACGUUUCCUAAGAUCAUGAUUUUCGAUUCUCCAUGUCUCUUCGAUAGGUAGAUGGUUUGAACGUUGGUACAGGAAUGUAGAUGGGGUUAGGGUUGGCAAUUCCACAUCGUCCUCCAUGUAUGAUAAGGGUCGUCGGUUUAUCUGUAUUUCGAUAUCUA